AUCGCUUCUCGGCCUUUUGGCUAAGAUCAAGUGUAGUAUCUGUUCUUAUCAGUUUAAAAAUCCUUCACCAGCCAGGCCUGUGUGGCUAAGUGGUUGAGCAUUGACCCAGGAACCAAGAGGUCACUGGUCCAAUUCCC
ensembl:snRNA U2 U2 spliceosomal RNA